CUUUUGUUCUCUUCACAGGUAGUGGGGGAAGCUGGUGUCAAUCUCCCCUGAUUGAGCCUCUUCAGCCAAGGCCCAAUCAGCAUCCAGGGAGGCCUUAUAUAAGCAGCCCAGCCGGGGAGCUGAGGAGAUCUCUCCAACGGCCUCUGUUAUCUGAUGCAUGUCUUCCUGCUCUUUGUGUGAAGGUUUGUGGUGGGAGUUAGAGGGCGAGUUCUCCCAACACCCCGGCGCCCCCUGAGAGCAGCGAAUCCGAAUGAAGUUGGCUGCUAUUUGUCCCUCUCACAACCUCUCGUCCAUCAAUGUCGCCAUGUGCCUCCAGCUGGAACAGAAGAAAACACCAGCUUCAUUAUGAACAGAUUACCCAGAGCAGGAAGAGUCUCACACCUCUGCUUAUCAGAGCAACCAGCGCAUCAAAGCAACAGGGAUAGGCAGAAAAGACGUGGAAGACACAGUGCUCAGAGAGUGCAUGCUGAUAACAUCCACUGCAAAUGGCUUCAAACGUCAGUGCUGCUGGUCUCACUGUUAAAGAGCGUUUUUAUUCGUCGGCCUCUGAUGUAGUCGACUUUUUAUAAGAGUUUAAAGCAGAACCAUUUUUGACCUUGCAGAAACGGAGACAUUAUUGAGUGUCCAGUUUAUUUAGACUUCUCCAAACUGACAAUUUCUGAGUAGAGCAGAUUCAAUAUUUGCUGGUUACUCCAUAACCAGCAAAAUGUAUGGCAAGAUAUAUUUAAAAAAUAGUUUCUUUCCAUUUUACUUCCUAAGUGCAACUACUCAUGCAUUUAUUGAUGUGUCAACAAAUUUGCAAGUUAGUAGACAGAUGGAUAAUUUCCAGGUUUAGUCAGUCCCACUCCUUAAAAAUCAGAUAAAAAGGGACUGAAAGUGCUGUAUUAACUCCCAAGAGAGAAAAGUGCAUUUGCUGAUUUAAUUUUUUUUUUUUCAUUUCACCCUUUUUACAAGCAUAAAGCCAUAUGUGCAUCUAGUCGCGUCUGGCACAGUGUCUUUUAUGUGUGUUAGAUAACAGAUUUGGACUGCAUGUUAUCACGAAUUGCACAAAAGCUGGUGAAAAUCCAUUAUCACCGGACAAACCUUUUAUCCGGUUUCAGCAACUUUCAGCGAAAUUCCAGUAAUGACGUUCCAAUUUUAACAUCUGUGAACAUCUGGACCUUUGAGUGGUUUAUCUCUUACAAAAGAUUCACUGGUGGUUUUGCACAGAGGUCAUUGUUAUGUCAAAGAUUAUGUAACUGCACACUGAACAAUUAAACUGAACACAUAAUUAUCUGUAGACAUAUCAACACAAAUGUGAACAGGAGGUCUGAGCAACAAAAAAGCAAUCAGUUUGUAACAAGGAAAGGCAGAUGGCCAUUUUUACUCUAAACAAAAGGAAUAAUCCCUUAAUGCAAUGAACCCUCCUCCUAAAAAAGGACAAUUCUGUGCUUACUUUAGCUGUGUGCAGUCAUUAGGGAUGCUCUUCAUCAAGUCAAUUUUAUAAUUUAUCUUUGACAGAAUAAUUCAAUGGUCUCUCAUUGUUAAACACAUUUUGCAUAAACAUGAUUUUAUAGAUACACUGGGUUUUCCAUAACAAUUUUUUUCUUUCUUAAGCCCUUUACAGUAAAGUGUUGAGACUAUAUUGGGUUCUGCACACUUUGCACAGAAAACAUUAUGAUAUCUUUCUCAAGCCAAGUUAGACUUAAGCUAGGCUGUCCUAGGAACUCAGGUUGGGACAAAAUAUGUAUCCCUGUUAAGUAAAACUAAAACUGUGGGGUUGUGACACAAUACUACUGCAGACGACUGUAGCGAUGGUGAACAUUUGUGUGUUGUUUUGCGGUACUUUAAAAAUUCUGAGUUAACAGAUUUACAUCAGAACUCUACAUAUAUUUUCAGUCUAUAGUGAUUGAACUCAAGCUGGCUGGUAGGGAAGCAUCUUUUGAUGAUGCCUCACUUUUCAUUUGCAUACCUGCACUAGAUGUAGUAGAGAACCGGUCAGCAAAUACUUCCAAGAAAUUACAAACAUGGACCAAAGUCUCCUCAAAUCAGAACAAUCUAUAUUUAUUUCCAUCUUGUUGCCAUUUGCUUCUGGAGGAUGUUGGGGAGGUUUUGGUAUUUGUUUAGUCAUGUGAUAGUAAUGCAAUGCAGGGCUGUGGGAAAAUCAAAUGAAGCAGGGUGGUGGUGGUUGUUGUUUUUCAAGGUGUCAAAAGGGUAGUGAAAGAUGGAAAAACAUUAGCAAUGCUGGCAAAUAUUAAAUAUUUCCCAUUAUUGAGCAGCAAUACCGAUAUUGAUAUUGGCCCAAAUUUUCAUAUUUGGUAAUGAUCCAAAUCCUCCUCAGGUGAAGUAGAAGGUAUUAUUAUUAUAUUAUCCACUUUGUAAGAACACAUAGUUAAUCCUUGAAGAGUGGGUGGGGUUAAGGCCAUUGUGGCUGAUGGGGCAGUUUCACAAUGCACAUCUACAUCAGAUUUCUCUUCUCUUGCUUAGAUUUAAAUCAUUUUGGUUUACUUAUGCUUGAAAAAAAGUCCAAGAAACAGCAUGGGGUGUUAUGUAACAGCCUCACAUGUUGAAAAAUAAAAACGCUGCUUCUGUGA